GUUAGGAUGGCCGAGUGGUUUAAGGUGCCAGACUUAAGAGCUGGAGGCGUGGGUUCGAAUCCCACUUCUGACA